AAUACACGAAGAGAGCAGAAACAUUUUAAUUCUUAUUUUAUGUGCAGCAUUAUGCUAGUCAUUUUCCUUUUCUUAUUGAUUCAAGUGGAUAUUUGUCCAUAAACACGUCAUGACUUAAUUGAAAGAAAAUUUCCAAACUGGACUUUAAACUUUUGAAUUUGCUUGGAUUCUACCUUUUCUGUGAAGGCUUUUUUGAGCUCUCCUAAGACAGAACAAAUGGCUCCAUUUUAUGUAAUACUUCUUUACCUUUUUCAGGCUUCCAUUAUUGUACAUAUUAUGCUUUGGCUUUAUUAUUUACAUUUGUAAUUUGUUUUUGCCUUGUAACAUGUUUGUUGUUCUCUUUUACUAGUUCAUGAGCUCUUCAAGAUUGGGCCUUGCCCUUUGUAUUUUCAUUUCUGGAGCCUGGAAUAUCACUCAGCACAAAGUAUAUACUCAAUAAAGGUUUUCCUGGCCAGAAAAACAUCUUGUGUUUGUGUAUUUAUUCACUUAUGGAAUACCCAUUACGUGCCAAGAACUGUUUGGGUACAGAGAACAGGCUAUAAGAUACUCUGAGCCCUCCAAGAGCUCACAGGCCGGUGGCCGG
rnacentral:lncRNA from 1 species